AGUAUUAGUAAUUAAGGCAGGCUAUCAUUCCUCGCAAAGUCAUUUUUCCCUAAAUCCCUAGCCGACAACUGCACUAUCCGUACUUUUCUUCAAGGCUGGUUAUAGAAAAACAGACCAGCCUCUAAAACAUCUCACCAGAAACGAACUCCACCACUUUCUGCAACAAUACAGUAUUACAGUCUGGGUCAUGUGUGUUUGUCAUAGCAGGUUACAUUCUCACUUAUACAACAAAGUAAAACAAGGAGAUGGCAAGUUCGGUGAAGGUUUCCAGAAACUACUAUCAAAGUGUUUUGUAGUCUAAUAAGUUGCGCUUAUGUAAUAUUUCUUUACUCUCCAUCUCUUGCUUACAUACACUAAAGACAAUAGCCAGGCCACCUCCUAUACACCAAGCUCUGGACUAAAACUGAAGAUAAUCAAACCUUUCCUUAAGUUUCCUAUCACAUACCAGGUACUACAUGUCACUUUAAGAACUCAAUCUUGUUCUUUCUAUAACCUCAAAUGAACCUGAAUGGAUCGCUAUGAAUCCUGACUGAUUUGCGCUUCCUUUCAUGUCAAAACUCAUUUACUUCUGAAGUUAGUCUUCAUUUUUAAUUAGAAACUGAAUUGAUGAAUGGAAAAGGGCAACAGCUAGUCUGUUUUCCUUCUAUCUAUUUUGCAACCGGGACUAUGGAAUCAUCAUUAUCAACCAAUCCCCUCACAUCAAUUAUAUCGACUCGAAAAUGGUAUAUACUAUCUGGAGCAGUCCCAUCGCCCCCACACAGACACCGAAGAGCCAGCACGAUAUGCCACGGCACGGGGCGACACACAUGAGCCAAGAUCAACCAAACUUAUCCUCGGAUAAGCAGAUCACUUAUUUCGAGGCCCACUGACAACUGUAUCACGAAUGUUACAUAAACAUCUAAACACGGACAUGAACGUGAGACACCAGCAAGCCUCACCAAUACUCAUGUUGCCAGAGGAUUAACAUGUUCGUGCCAAGAGUCAGUAAGCAGGAGCACACCUUACACCUCAGUAAGGGUUAGACGGUGAGAGGGGUAGCCAGAAAGGAAAUAAUCAAUAUCUAACGCAGAGGAAACCAUGGUGGAGGGUUCAUGUCAGUCGGUCACUGACGCCUACUCACCACAACACGAACAGGGAAUGGAUGGAAGAGACAACAGAGAGGGCGGCAAGGUUGGCAAGCCUGGUGCGCCUGCGCCUACCUGGACACAGAAAGAUGGACUUCCCUUAGUCGCGAGUCACCGCCCCUACCACUAGUUCCUGUUAAAUAGACCACUGAGAACAAGCAGAGGUAUGGCCAAAAAUACAAUCUGGGAAUGGCUCAAAAUGACUAAACAUAAGAAAUGUAAAACACAGCACUCCACAUGCAGUUAAUAAAUGUAUGCCAUUAGACCAUGUGCACUUACCAAUUACUCAUACAGCUGGCAACACUACAGCACACAA